rnacentral:rRNA from 1 species
GCGGACGGGUGAGUAACACGUGGAUAACCUACCUAUAAGACUGGGAUAACUUCGGGAAACCGGAGCUAAUACCGGAUAAUAUUUUGAACCGCAUGGUUCAAAAGUGAAAGACGGUCUUGCUGUCACUUAUAGAUGGAUCCGCGCUGCAUUAGCUAGUUGGUAAGGUAACGGCUUACCAAGGCAACGAUGCAUAGCCGACCUGAGAGGGUGAUCGGCCACACUGGAACUGAGACACGGUCCAGACUCCUACGGGAGGCAGCAGUAGGGAAUCUUCCGCAAUGGGCGAAAGCCUGACGGAGCAACGCCGCGUGAGUGAUGAAGGUCUUCGGAUCGUAAAACUCUGUUAUUAGGGAAGAACAUAUGUGUAAGUAACUGUGCACAUCUUGACGGUACCUAAUCAGAAAGCCACGGCUAACUACGUGCCAGCAGCCGCGGUAAUACGUAGGUGGCAAGCGUUAUCCGGAAUUAUUGGGCGUAAAGCGCGCGUAGGCGGUUUUUUAAGUCUGAUGUGAAAGCCCACGGCUCAACCGUGGAGGGUCAUUGGAAACUGGAAAACUUGAGUGCAGAAGAGGAAAGUGGAAUUCCAUGUGUAGCGGUGAAAUGCGCAGAGAUAUGGAGGAACACCAGUGGCGAAGGCGACUUUCUGGUCUGUAACUGACGCUGAUGUGCGAAAGCGUGGGGAUCAAACAGGAUUAGAUACCCUGGUAGUCCACGCCGUAAACGAUGAGUGCUAAGUGUUAGGGGGUUUCCGCCCCUUAGUGCUGCAGCUAACGCAUUAAGCACUCCGCCUGGGGAGUACGACCGCAAGGUUGAAACUCAAAGGAAUUGACGGGGACCCGCACAAGCGGUGGAGCAUGUGGUUUAAUUCGAAGCAACGCGAAGAACCUUACCAAAUCUUGACAUCCUUUGACAACUCUAGAGA